AGUGAACGCUGGCGGUAGGCCUAACACAUGCAAGUCGAACGGCAGCACAGUAAGAGCUUGCUCUUACGGGUGGCGAGUGGCGGACGGGUGAGGAAUACAUCGGAAUCUACUUUUUCGUGGGGGAUGACGUAGGGAAACUUACGCUAAUACCGCAUAUGACCUACGGGUGAAAGCAGGGGAUCUUCGGACCUUGCGCGAUUGAAUGAGCCGAUGUCGGAUUAGCUAGUUGGCGGGGUAAAGGCCCACCAAGGCGACGAUCCGUAGCUGGUCUGAGAGGAUGAUCAGCCACACUGGAACUGAGACACGGUCCAGACUCCUACGGGAGGCAGCAGUGGGGAAUAUUGGACAAUGGGCGCAAGCCUGAUCCAGCCAUACCGCGUGGGUGAAGAAGGCCUUCGGGUUGUAAAGCCCUUUUGUUGGGAAAGAAAAGCAGCAGGUUAAUACCCCGCUGUUCUGACGGUACCCAAAGAAUAAGCACCGGCUAACUUCGUG
rnacentral:rRNA from 1 species